AACGAACGCUGGCGGCGCGUCUUAAACAUGCAAGUCGAACGAUCUGUAGCAAUACAGGGAGUGGCGGACGGGUGAGGAACACGUAGGAAUCUACCUUGAAGAGCGGGACAACUUUGGGAAACCGGGGCUAAUACCGCAUAGUACAGAGAUGUUAAAGGGCUAGCAAUAGUCGCUUCGAGAUGAGCCUGCGGUCUAUCAGCUUGUUGGUGAGGUAAUGGCUCACCAAGGCUACGACGGAUAGCCGGUCUGAGAGGAUGAUCGGCCACACUGGCACUGAGACACGGGCCAGACUCCUACGGGAGGCAGCAGUUAAGAAUCUUGCGCAAUGGGGGAAACCCUGACGCAGCGACGCCGCGUGAAGGAUGAAGGCUUUCGGGUUGUAAACUUCGGUAGACUGGGAAGAAGGAAAUACGUUACGUUGAGGGCAUAUAGUGACGGUACCAGUCUGAAGCCCCGGCUAAUACGUGCCAGCAGCCGCGGUAAU
rnacentral:rRNA from 1 species